UGAAGCCUAAUGUUUUAGUAAAGCUGUCAUUCAUGCUGCUGCUCCUCUGUUUGCUUUACUACUACAUCAUAUUCUAGCCUUGAAAACCUCCUGGAUAUUGAUUUCUUUUAUGGAUUUAAAGGAACACUGCUUCAGAGUGACAACAUCGAUGGCAAACCUAAGGAAUUACCCCAGGUAUUAUGAUCAACCAGGAAAUUUUGUGGCCAAGUAUCUCUAGAGAGCAUUCAGCAGGAAAUCCAGCCAACCAGGUUCAACACUGGCUUCAAAGGGAGGAGUAUUUGUUUUCCUCUGAUUGGUUAACACCACUUUUCUGGAUUGAAUUGAGACAGAACAGCAACUCUGUUAGACUCUGGAUAAAUUGCUUCAGCUUUCUGGCAGAAUUCCACAGUCCUUCACAACAACAGAAUGUCAAGGAUCUGUAUCUCCAGCUCUGA
rnacentral:lncRNA from 1 species